CAAUAGCGUAUAUUAAAGUUGUUGCGGUUAAAAAGCUCGUAGUUGGAUUUCUGCCGAGGACGACCGGUCCGCCCUCUGGGUGAGUAUCUGGCUCGGCCUGGGCAUCUUCUUGGAGAACGUAGCUGCACUUGACUGUGUGGUGCGGUAUCCAGGACUUUUACUUUGAGGAAAUUAGAGUGUUUCAAGCAGGCUUACGCCUUGAAUACAUUAGCAUGGAAUAAUAAGAUAGGACCUCGGUUCUAUUUUGUUGGUUUCUAGAGCUGAGGUAAUGAUUAAUAGGGAUAGUUGGGGGCAUUCGUAUUUAACUGUCAGAGGUGAAAUUCUUGGAUUUGUUAAAGAUGGACUACUGCGAAAGCAUUUGCCAAGGAUGUUUNCAUUG
rnacentral:rRNA from 1 species